UACGGGGGGGGUAAGCGUUGUUCGGAAUUACUGGGCGUAAAGGGCUCGUAGGCGGCCAACUAAGUCGGACGUGAAAUCCCUCAGCUCAACCGGGGAACUGCGUCCGAUACUGGUGGGCUUGAAUCCGGGAGAGGGAUGUGGAAUUCCAGGUGUAGCGGUGAAAUGCGUAGAUAUCUGGAGGAACACCGGUGGCGAAGGCGGCAUCCUGGACCGGUAUUGACGCUGAUGCGCGAAAGCCAGGGGAGCAAACGGG
rnacentral:rRNA from 1 species